GGGAAGCAUCAAAGAGUUGUGUGAUGUUAUCUGAUACAAUCUUCCUAUAUCAAAAGAAAAAUCUCUGCAUUUCCUGCUUGCGGUAGCUGAGCUUUGUUCCGCGAGUCUCAUAUCAUGCAAAGACAUUA
rfam:Brassica rapa chromosome A3, whole genome shotgun sequence.